UACGUAGGGUGCGAGCGUUGUCCGGAAUUAUUGGGCGUAAAGAGCUCGUAGGCGGCCUGUCGCGUCGGAUGUGAAAGCCCGGGGCUUAACCCCGGGUCUGCAUUCGAUACGGGCAGGCUAGAGUGUGGUAGGGGAGAUCGGAAUUCCUGGUGUAGCGGUGAAAUGCGCAGAUAUCAGGAGGAACACCGGUGGCGAAGGCGGGUCUCUGGGCCGGUACCGACGCUGAGGAGCGAAAGCGUGGGGAGCGAACAGG
rnacentral:rRNA from 1 species